CGGAUGCCCUGGGAAGCGGCGCUGAGAUGCAUCAAAAGAAGUGAGAAGAGGAAGACAGAAAGGAAGAAAAAUCAGAAUAUACAUAAUGCUUUAUCAAUCCCACAGGAGAUGCACAUGGCCUGGGAAAGAUGGAAAGGACCACAAAGUGUGGCCCCAGUAUUCCUAGCUCCUCAGCAGAUUUUUACUGAAGCCUUGGAAAGGGACAACUUUGU